rnacentral:rRNA from 1 species
AUUGAACGCUGGCGGCGUGCCUAAUACAUGCAAGUCGAGCGAAGCGGCGGAUGGGUUAGUAACGCGUGGGUAACCUGCCCGUAAGUCUGGGAUGCCAGUUGGAAACAGAUGCGAAUACCGGAUACUAAAGGAUGGACCUGCGAUGCAUUAGCUAGUUGGUAAGGUAACGGCUUACCAAGGCGAUGAUGCAUAGCCGAGUUGAGAGCCUGAUCGGCCACAUUGGGACUGAGACACGGCCCAAACUCCGACGGGAGGCAGCAGUAGGAAAUCUUCCACAAUGGACGAAAGUCUGAUGGAGCAACGCCGCGUGAGUGAAGAAGGUUUUCGGAUCGUAAAGCUCUGUUGUUGGUGAAGCGGUAAUCAACCAGAAAGUCACGGCUAACUACGUGCCAGCAGCCGCGGUAAUA